UUAUUUCAUCAAGUACAUAAACUAUUUUAUCAAACAAAAUUUAACCAAGAGGAUCAGAUUGAACAACGAUUCCUUAAAUUGAGAAGACGGUAAUAGAUUUGCAGAUGAAAAUAUAGAGAGUCAUACAUGACAAAAAAAUGAAUAUGAAGAAGAGAGUCACAUACCGACAGGGAGGUGAAAGUUGAAAAAAAUAGGUGAAAGUUAAAGAAAAUAGGUGAAAGUCGCAAUGGGUUGCAGCAACUUCGGCGAGAUGAAAAAAGAAAAAAAAAAAUGAAGACGUGUACAUGGUAGGUUGAAGGUAUGAAAAAAAGUAUGGAAAAAAAUUUGGAUAUAAAGUACAACUUUUAAAAAGAUUGUUGAAUGAUUAUUUUAGAAGAAAGAGUGGAUGUGUUCCCGGCGAGAUGAAUGAUUAUUGAAAAAAGAUUAGAUGUGUUUCCGGUGAGAUGAAUGAUACAAAACGUAAAUGGGUUUCCCCACGAGUUGAAAAAAAAGGGAAGAGGUGUAUGAAGAAAAAUGGGUGGAGGUGAGAGUACGUGACAAGUGAGGUAUGGAAGGAAAAGGUACUUGACAAGUGAAGUAUAAAUUAGUUGAUAGAGUAGAUGUAGGUAGAGAGAAAAGUCAUAGCUAGGUGUGGAAAGAAUCUUUAUUUCAUGGAGAUGUGUGUACAAACUAAAUAAAAAUAAUAAUAAAAGGAUAGACGGCUGAGAUGUGAAAUGGAAAGAUCGAACGACUCAGAUAGGGUGAGUGUUUUUGAGUUUACCCUAUGAUGAUCCUAUGUGAUAAUUCCUGUAUUAAAAUAAUAAAAUUUAAUUAUUAUCAAAAAAUAAUAGUAUUGUGUCGACACCAAUUUUAUGUCGUGUUUGUGUCAAUAAAAAAAUUAAUUAUGUCAAUCGUGUUCGUGUCGUAUCACACGAAUUAUCAGACCUAUAUUACACUGUUUAGGAGUAAAAAAAUUGGACAUGAUGUGCAUCCAAAUGUCCAAUAUUAUUGUUUACAUUUUAAUUUCCAUAUGACCAGAAUUAAUUAUUAAGCAAGUAAAAUAAAGUAGGUGGAUUCGAAAUUGAAUAAAUUAGUUAAUCCUUCUGCAGUUGGUUCUGAUCUCCCCUUUCGUUCCACGUGAAGGGUGGAUGUUGGACAUCUUUGUCAUGGCAGUCGCGAAAUCAUGGAAGAAGGCCGAUUGAUUGGU
rnacentral:lncRNA from 1 species